ACCGCUUUUUGGCUAAGAUCAAGUGUAGUAUCUGUUCCUGUCAGUUUAAUAUCUGAUACGUUCUCUAUCUGAGAUCUUCAUUUUAAACAGAUUUUUAGAACAGGGAGACGGUCAAAGGGGCUUGCCCCGGCCACCCCACGCGUCGCCUCGGUACUGCAGUGCUUCCGAGAGCGACGCACCUUCU